rnacentral:rRNA from 1 species
AUGAACGCUAGCUACAGGCUUAACACAUGCAAGUCGAGGGGCAUCAGGAAGAAAGCUUGCUUUCUUUGCUGGCGACCGGCGCACGGGUGAGUAACACGUAUCCAACCUGCCCUUUACUCGGGGAUAGCCUUUCGAAAGAAAGAUUAAUACCCGAUGGCAUAAUGAUUCCGCAUGGUUUCAUUAUUAAAGGAUUCCGGUAAAGGAUGGGGAUGCGUUCCAUUAGGUUGUUGGUGAGGUAACGGCUCACCAAGCCUUCGAUGGAUAGGGGUUCUGAGAGGAAGGUCCCCCACAUUGGAACUGAGACACGGUCCAAACUCCUACGGGAGGCAGCAGUGAGGAAUAUUGGUCAAUGGGCGCUAGCCUGAACCAGCCAAGUAGCGUGAAGGAUGAAGGCUCUAUGGGUCGUAAACUUCUUUUAUAUAAGAAUAAAGUGCAGUAUGUAUACUGUUUUGUAUGUAUUAUAUGAAUAAGGAUCGGCUAACUCCGUGCCAGCAGCCGCGGUAAUACGGAGGAUCCGAGCGUUAUCCGGAUUUAUUGGGUUUAAAGGGAGCGUAGGUGGACUGGUAAGUCAGUUGUGAAAGUUUGCGGCUCAACCGUAAAAUUGCAGUUGAUACUGUCAGUCUUGAGUACAGUAGAGGUGGGCGGAAUUCGUGGUGUAGCGGUGAAAUGCUUAGAUAUCACGAAGAACUCCGAUUGCGAAGGCAGCUCACUGGACUGCAACUGACACUGAUGCUCGAAGGUGUGGGUAUCAAACAGGAUUAGAUACCCUGGUAGUCCACACAGUAAACGAUGAAUACUCGCUGUUUGCGAUAUACAGUAAGCGGCCAAGCGAAAGCAUUAAGUAUUCCACCUGGGGAGUACGCCGGCAACGGUGAAACUCAAAGGAAUUGACGGGGGCCCGCACAAGCGGAGGAACAUGUGGUUUAAUUCGAUGAUACGCGAGGAACCUUACCCGGGCUUAAAUUGCAGUGGAAUGAUGUGGAAACAUGUCAGUGAGCAAUCACCGCUGUGAAGGUGCUGCAUGGUUGUCGUCAGCUCGUGCCGUGAGGUGUCGGCUUAAGUGCCAUAACGAGCGCAACCCUUAUCUUUAGUUACUAACAGGUCAUGCUGAGGACUCUAGAGAGACUGCCGUCGUAAGAUGUGAGGAAGGUGGGGAUGACGUCAAAUCAGCACGGCCCUUACGUCCGGGGCUACACACGUGUUACAAUGGGGGGUACAGAAGGCAGCUAGCGGGUGACCGUAUGCUAAUCCCAAAAUCCUCUCUCAGUUCGGAUCGAAGUCUGCAACCCGACUUCGUGAAGCUGGAUUCGCUAGUAAUCGCGCAUCAGCCACGGCGCGGUGAAUACGUUCCCGGGCCUUGUACACACCGCCCGUCAAGCCAUGGGAGCCGGGGGUACCUGAAGUACGUAACCGCAAGGAUCGUCCUAGGGUAAAACUGGUGACUGGGGCU